rnacentral:lncRNA from 1 species
GAAUUCAAGGGGGACUUGGAGAUGAUCUUGGACUCCUCGCACUGGCACUGGAAAGAACCUGGGAGGGGUUUGUCAAAUCCCAGGGAGAGCCACCAUGCUGAACAACGCUGGAGGGCAGAAACAGGAAGCGCCGUGUUCCUGCUUAAUAACCUAGAGCUCUCGCUGGUAAGCCAAGAACGCUACCCAGAAAAACGGAGAUGGAAGGAGCUGGAAGGGCUCUGUGGGAACUGGAGCACCUUUCCAGGGCCUGUGAGGUCGAAGGCAGAAAGGAAACGUUAGCUCUGAACAUGAGCAGAACUGCUGUAGCCUCCCAACAUUGUGAUUUAUCACAGUAGCUGGGAAAAAAAACCCAACUGCCAGUGAGGUCAUAUAUUGGAGAAGGUUGGCAGAAUGUCGGAGACACCAUGUCUGAGGUUCCUUUUGUUCCUAGCAUUCUGUGACAGCUCCCUAAGCCUCACUGCUCCAAGAGGAUCAGAGAGAAUCACCAUGCAGGGCCUGGGAAGGUCUGGCCACGACCCCAGGCAGCUGUGACUCAGUCGCCAUUUUAUGCCAUGCUGUCUGGGAGUCACUGAAGGACUUCUUUCUGCUGGGCCCUCUCUAUGGGCUCUGACUAAGCAGAAAAGGAUAGACAGCUCAUCACCUGGCUCGGAGAGUCAGUCUGCCUGAGCUUCCCACCUGAGUGGUCAGCCUCCUCCUCUGCCUUUUGGAAAGCAGCAGCCCGCCUGCCUUUUCCUGAGGCUCCCAAAUGUGAAUAUCCAAGCCCCGUUCUGUGUGGGGUGGCAUGGGAACUUUCAUACGUUUUUUUUUCUGUUAGUUUGUUUUGAUAAUGGCUCGUUUGCUAGUUACUUUUUCAACUCUAUGACAAAAUACUCUACAUAAAGCAGUUUGGGGAGAGGGUUUAUUUGGCUUACAGUUUGAGGGGAUAAUCCAUCGUGCUGAGGGGGGAAAUCAAUUAAUGGCCGUGGUGCCACAUGCACCUUCACUUGAGAAGCAGAGGCAGGGGAACUCUGUGAGUUCAAGGUCAGCUUGGUCUACAUAGUGGGUUCCAGCCCACCCAGCACGAUACAGAGAGACCCUGUCUCAAAAUGAACUAGAGGCUCACUUCUCAGCUGGGAAGGGUGAGGCGACUGGUCUGGUCACAUUCUAUUCAUUGUAAGAAAGCAGAGUUAGAAGGGGGCUGGAACACACAGUUUCUCCUCUUCACUCAUUCCAGGAAUGGAUUCCCAUGAGAUGGUGCCACCCCCAUGCAGGGAACAUCUUUCCAUCUUAAUCCCAUCAAGGUGCCAAACCAAGAUUAGCCACUGCACAAUCCUCUCACAGCGUGCUCCAUCAGAGCCCAACGUCCUGUUAGGGUCACUUUCCUCCAGCAGCUAGUCUCUCUGGAUGGAAUCUCUUUCUUGAAAAGAGCUCUCCGUGGUCUAUAGUAAGUCACCUCAGCCUUACCCAGCACCGGAGGGCUCACCUUCUCCUCACUUUCAAUGUCUCUGUCUGACUUCAGACGGCAUGCCAACACUCUCAGAGGAUCGGUAACCCCAUCUCUUUCUUAUGGAGAAAACUUCCCAUGGUGCCCUGCUCUUCAGCACCAGGGCUCACUCCUGCCCACCUCUUCCAACCAUCAUUUCUCCCUUUGGAAAAUAAAUGUUUGCAUUAAGUUUUGCCUUGGUGUGUCUCCAGAUGGUAUGGAAUUUAUGAACAGAGAUGUCUUUCCACACAAUCUAUCCUUUGUCUGACUGUAGAGCGAUGCCAAUGUAGUCUCUAGUGGAAUGAAUGCAGCCUGUGUUUUGUUACUUUUUUUACUAUUUUAAUUGCCCACAGGAAAAAGAUCCACGUUUUCCUACUUGGGCUGUAUGUAAACACCCACUAGGAAACCCACACUAAAACCUUCUAACACUUAACUAUUUACUCCUAGAUAACUUUGCACUGUCUUUAAGCAAGGGAACAAGUCAUGGAAUCAUCAGAACGAGAGCCAAAGAACCAGCGCAGAGGAUAAAGAUAGGGAGGAAGCAAAACAACAACAACAACAACAAC